GACGAACGCUGGCGGCGUGCCUAAUACAUGCAAGUUGAGCGCUGAAGGUUGGUACUUGUACCAACUGGAUGAGCAGCGAACGGGUGAGUAACGCGUGGGGAAUCUGCCUUUGAGCGGGGGACAACAUUUGGAAACGAAUGCUAAUACCGCAUAAAAACUUUAAACACAAGUUUUAAGUUUGAAAGAUGCAAUUGCAUCACUCAAAGAUGAUCCCGCGUUGUAUUAGCUAGUUGGUGAGGUAAAGGCUCACCAAGGCGAUGAUACAUAGCCGACCUGAGAGGGUGAUCGGCCACAUUGGGACUGAGACACGGCCCAAACGCCUACGGGAGGCAGCAGUAGGGAAUCUUCGGCAAUGGGCGAAAGUCUGACCGAGCAACGCCGCGUGAGGGAAGAAGGGUGUCGGAUCGUAAAACUCGGUUGGUAGAGAAGAACGUUGGUGAGAGUGGAAAGCUCAUCAAGUGACGGUAACUACCCAGAAAGGGACGGCUAACUACGUG
rnacentral:rRNA from 1 species